rnacentral:lncRNA from 1 species
AACAAAACGUCGAGGGGGGAACGGAGAAGGCUAAGGCACAACGCGUUCAAAAGAACAUCAACUGAGCUACUAGGUGACAUAAGUUCCUCAACAUUGUUGAAAAUGCCAAUGGUGAUAGGGAACAUGCUAAAUCUCAUCGGGAUGGGAGGAGAAGGUGAACAUGCUAAAUCUCAAAAGAACAUCAACAAGUAGCGCACUCUCCACCACCGCAACCUCGAGCGAGAAUUCACCAUGGACUACAACGACCACAAGGUCUACAUGACUCCAAAGGAGAACCUUGUCGCCGCCAACGAAGAGCUCACCACUCUCCUUCCCAACACCCCA